UCCAUCGUGGUGCAGUGGUAGCACGCCAGACCAUACACGUUGGUGCGCCGCAUUGCUUACGAGCGUGCCGCGCUGGUCCCAGAGCCGUCGAUGUCUCGUACAUUGACCGAGCUCAGGGAUAGGUGCGAGUAGUGCAGAACGGCAUGUCAGUCUGGAGGCCCGAGUUCGACUCUCGGCGAUGGAA